UUCCGGGGUAGGAGUAAAAUCCUGUAAUCUCGGACGGACUGGCGAUAGCGAAAGCAUCUCACGAGGACGGAUCCGACAGUGAGGGACGAAGGCCAGGGUCUCGAACCGGAUUAGAUACCCGGGUAGUCCUGGC
rnacentral:rRNA from 1 species